AGAGGCAGGUGGAUCUCUGUGAGUUGGAGGCCAGCCUGGUCUACAUAGCAAAUUCCAGGCCAGCUGGGGCUACAGAGAGACCCUGUCUCAAAACAAACAAAAAUAAUCCUUUUUUUAAAAAGACAGGUUCUUCCUAUAGCUCCAGCUGACCUGGAACUCACUAUGUAGACCAGGCUGGCCUCCAACUCACAGAGAUCUGCCUAUCUCUGCCUCCCAUGUGCUGGGAUUAAAGGUAUGUACCACCAUGCCCAAC
rnacentral:sRNA from 1 species